GACGAACGCUGGCGGCGUGCUUAACACAUGCAAGUCGAACGGAAAGGCCCUGCAUUUGUGGGGUGCUCGAGUGGCGAACGGGUGAGUAACACGUGAGUAACAUGCCCUUGACUUUGGGAUAACUUCAGGAAACUGGGGCUAAUACAGGAUAGGAGCUCCUGCUGCAUGGUGGGGGUUGGAAAGUUUCGGCGGUUGGGGAUGGACUCGCGGCUUAUCAGCUUGUUGGUGGGGUAGUGGCUUACCAAGGCAUUGACGGGUAGCCGGCCUGAGAGGGUGACCGGCCACAUUGGGACUGAGAUACGGCCCAGACUCCUACGGGAGGCAUCAGUGGGGAAUAUUGCACAAUGGGCGGAAGCCUUAUGCAGCAACGCCGCGUGCUGGAUGACGGCCUUCGGGUUGUAAACCGCUUUCGCCUGUGACGAAGCGUGAGUGACGGUAAUGGGUAAAGAAGCACCGGCUAACUACGUG
rnacentral:rRNA from 1 species